UGGGGAAUAUUGGACAAUGGGCGAAAGCCUGAUCCAGCCAUGCCGCGUGUGUGAAGAAGGUCUUCGGAUUGUAAAUCACUUUAAGUUGGGAGGAAGGGCAGUAAGCGAAUACCUUGCUGUUUUGACGUUACCGACAGAAUAAGCACCGGCUAACUCUGUGCCAGCAGCCGCGGUAAUACAGAGGGUGCAAGCGUUAAUCGGAAUUACUGGGCGUAAAGCGCGCGUAGGUGGUUCGUUAAGUUGAAUGUGAAAGCCCCGGGCUCAACCUGGGAACUGCAUCCAAAACUGGCGAGCUAGAGUAGGGCAGAGGGGGGUGGAAUUUCCUGUGUAGCGGUGAAAUGCGUAGAUAUAGGAAGGAACACCAGUGGCGAAGGCGACCACCUGGGCUCAUACUGACACUGAGGUGCGAAAGCGUGGGGAGCAAACAGG
rnacentral:rRNA from 1 species